AACGUAGGUGGCGAGCGUUAUCCGGAUUGACUGGGCGUAAAGGGUGUGCAGGCGGGGUCUCAAGUGGUGUGUGAAAUCGCCCGGCUCAACCGGGUGAGGUCAGGCCAGACUGAGGCUCUUGGGUGCGGGAGAGGGGCGUGGAAUUCCGGGUGUAGUGGUGAAAUGCGUAGAGAUCCGGAGGAACCCCAGAGGCGAAGGCGGCGCCCUGGCCCGACACCGACGCUGAGACACGACAGCAUGGGGAGCGAACGGG
rnacentral:rRNA from 1 species